rnacentral:rRNA from 1 species
UCGACAACGGAUCUCUUGGCUCUCGCAUCGAUGAAGAACGCAGCGAAAUGCGAUAAGUAAUGUGAAUUGGCAGAAGGUCAGUGAAUCAUCGAAUCUUUGAACGCACCUUGCGCCCUUUGGUAUUCCGAGGGGCAUGCCUGUUUGAGUGUCAUU